AGAUUGAACGCUGGCGGCAUGCCUUACACAUGCAAGUCGAACGGCAGCACGGGAGCAAUCCUGGUGGCGAGUGGCGAACGGGUGAGUAAUAUAUCGGAACGUGCCCAGUCGUGGGGGAUAACGCAGCGAAAGCUGUGCUAAUACCGCAUACGAUCUAUGGAUGAAAGCGGGGGAUCGCAACGACCUCGCGCGAUUGGAGCGGCCGAUAUCAGAUUAGCUAGUUGGUGGGGUAAAAGCCUACCAAGGCGACGAUCUGUAGCUGUCUGAGAGGA
rnacentral:rRNA from 1 species